UUUGUUGCUCUACCUUGUCGGGAAUCGCGACCAAGCAGCGGCCACCGCGGGCCGCGGUAGUGUCUCGUCGCCCUCACAGAACACCGUCUCGCCGCCGCCGAAGCCCCUCCUUGCUCCCGUUCUCCGCGCGCCAGAUCGACACAUUCCUCGAUCUCAGCCACCGCCAGCGCCGGCUCCGCGGUGCCCAAUUCCUCAAACCCUAGAGCCAAAUCCCCCAUUUGGCCGCGCCUAACAGAGCCGGAUUUACUCGGCGCUGGCUGGUGCGAGCGGCGAAUCGAGUCCCCUCCCGUGCACUGCUCCACAUGUCGCACCGCGUGUACGCAUGAACUCGUCCAUGGACGAGAUCAACCUGCUACGGCAGCACCAGCGACACCAGCAGCACCACCUGUCGGUGCGCGGCAUCGGUGAGGAGAUCGACCUCGAGAUCGACCAGUGUGAAGAUCCCACUUUCUCGGGCGCCGCACUCGAGGGCGUGACCUCCCAUCACCCUCAAGACCCCGUCGUCCCUGCCGAUGACCACAAGAGCUUCCUCAUCCCGUGCUCGCAGCCUGGCGCAGUGGACGGCCAACCGCAGCCCACGCCACCGCAAGCAGAGGAACGGGCAGGGAUGCUGAGGCUGUCGGCGCAUACCAAGAAGAAGAAGAAGGUGGUCAAGAAAUGGCGGGAUGAGUGGGCGGACACAUACAAGUGGGCCUAUGUGGCCGUGCACGACAACACCAGCAGAAUCUUCUGCACCGUUUGCAAGGAGUAUGGCCGCAAGCAUCGCCGGAACCCCUAUGGGAACGAGGGGAGCAGGAACAUGCAGAUGAGUGCGCUAGAGGAGCACAACAAUAGCUUGCUGCAUAAGGAGGCGCUCCGACUGCAGUCAGCCUCCAAGGAGAAGGUGCAAACUCCUGAGAUAGAGAGGCCGGUUUAUGUCAAAGCUUUGUCGAAAACAGCAGCUUCAAUACUUGAAUCUCUCUUCAAGAAGGACCCUCAUGAAGCUGAAUUUAUACAGUCUAUACAGGAGGUGGUUCAUUCUAUAGAACCAGUUUUGGUGAAGAACUCACAAUAUGUUCAGAUAUUGGAGCGUUUAUUAGAACCUGAGAGAUGUUUUAUCUUCAGAGUGCCAUGGGUUGAUGACAGAGGUGAAGCUCAUGUCAAUCGAGGUUUCCGUGUGCAGUUCAGUCAGGCUUUAGGUCCAUGCAGAGGUGGUCUCCGUUUCCACCCGUCCAUGAACUUAAGUGUGGCAAAGUUUCUAGCUUUUGAGCAGACUCUGAAGAAUGCUCUGUCACUAUAUAAACUUGGAGGUGCUGCUGGAGGGAGCGAUUUUGAUCCAAAGGGUAAAAGUGAAAUUGAGGUAUUCGUGUUGUAUUUUAUUUCCUCUGGGCAACAAUAUUUACUGCAUGUAAAUAUGGAUAUUUUUCCAUGCCAGGUAAUGCGCUUUUGUCAAAGUUUCAUGGAUGAGCUGUAUAGAUACUUGGGCCCUGAUCAGGAUUUUCCUGCUGAAGAUGUUGGUGUUGGUCCAAGGGAAAUGGGUUUCCUUUUUGGGCAGUACAGACGCCUUUCUGGUCAUUUUCAGGGAAAUUUUACAGGGCCUAAGAUCUUCUGGUCUGGUUCUAGUUUUAGAACAGAAGCUACUGGAUACGGACUGGUAUUUUUUGCACGUGUUGUACUUGCUGAUAUGAAUAAGGAGCUCAAAGGAUUAAGAUGUGCGAUAAGUGGUUCAGGAAAGAUAGCAAUGCAUGUCUUGGAAAAGCUUCUGUCGUGUGAAGCUAUUCCUGUUACAGUCUCAGAUUCAGAAGGCUAUCUAUUUGAUGGAGACGGGUUUGAUUAUGUGAAAUAUACACUUAUAAGGAAUAUUAAGGCACAACAAAGGAGCCUCAAGGAAUACUUGAAAACAUUUCCACGUGCCAAAUAUAUCAAUGAUGCUAAGCCAUGGGGUGAGCAGUGUGAUAUUGCAUUCCCUUGUGCAUCACAAAAUGAGAUUGACCAGGGGGAGGCUCUUUCAAUAAUUAGCUCUGGUUGCCGUGUUCUUAUAGAAUGUUCAAACAUGCCAUGCACUGGUCAAGCAGUUGAUAUCCUAAGAAAGGCAAAAGUCCAUGUUGCUCCAGCAAAGGCAACUGCUGCUGGUGGGGUAGCAGUCGGUGAACUUGAACUGAAUCCAGAGUUCAGCUUAAUGCAGUGGUCAGUAGAGGAUUUCGAGAACAAAAUACAGGUAUAAGCCGCUGCUUCUGCCCGUUGGUGGCUACCCUUCCAUUUUUCGAUAAAGGGCGUAUUUAUUAACUCAAAAUGUAGCAUCAAGCGGAUAGAAAGCAUGAUGAGAAACACACGGCCUCUGCAUAACUAAGAUCCACACAGCCAAAUACUAACAAAUUGACCCCAAAAAACAACAUAUCGGCAACGUAGUCAUAUAAGAUCGACACUAUGCCUAUGUCGAAGGAGGUGGCUACCCUUCCAUAUGUGGAAGCAGUAAAGCAAACAUAUGACAGGUCGAUGAAAGCUGCUCAAGAAUAUGGAAUCCUGAAAGAGAACCCAGAGUCUUUGGUGCAUGGUGCAAACAUAUCGGCCUUCCUGAACAUUGCACAAGCCAUGACUGAUCAAGGAUGUGUGUAGUUAAGCGUUUUUGUUCUGUCAAGAAGCAGAAUUUGACAUCCCUGCAGGCUGCAGCCAUGAUCUCUGGUUGUACUGUGGUUGCUGCAGCCAUUUGACGCUUAUUCGUAGCCUCCCUCACAGAUCACUGUUUUACGUUUAUUGGUAGCCUCCCUCACAGAUCAAUUUUAUGUUUAGGCCUUGUCAAAGCUUUCCUCUGGUAUGAAGGAAAAGCUUAGAUCUAUUUAGAGUAUAGAAGUGUUUCCUGUUGUAGAUCCCCCAUGUAUUUAUUCAUUACUGCCAACAUCAAUGCUUGAAGAAGGAAAUGUUCCUUUUUUGUGUGAA